rnacentral:rRNA from 1 species
GACGAACGCUGGCGGCGUGCUUAACACAUGCAGGUCGAACGGAAAGGCCCUGCUUGCAGGGUACUCGAGUGGCGAACGGGUGAGUAACACGUGGGUGAUCUGCCCUGCACUUCGGGAUAAGCCUGGGAAACUGGGUCUAAUACCGGAUAGGAGCCAUUUUUAGUGUGAUGGUUGGAAAGUUUUUUUCGGUGUAGGAUGAGCUCGCGGCCUAUCAGCUUGUUGGUGGGGUAAUGGCCUACCAAGGCGGCGACGGGUAGCCGGCCUGAGAGGGUGGACGGCCACAUUGGGACUGAGAUACGGCCCAGACUCCUACGGGAGGCAGCAGUGGGGAAUAUUGCACAAUGGGCGCAAGCCUGAUGCAGCGACGCCGCGUGGGGGAUGACGGCCUUCGGGUUGUAAACUCCGUUCGCUAGGGACGAAGCUUUUUGUGACGGUACCUAGAGAAGAAGCACCGGCUAACUACGUG